CUUAGGCGUGUGACUGCGUACCUUUUGUAUAAUGGGUCAGCGACUUAUAUUCUGUAGCAAGGUUAACCGAAUAGGGGAGCCGAAGGGAAACCGAGUCUUAACUGGGCGUUAAGUUGCAGGGUAUAGACCCGAAACCCGGUGAUCUAGCCAUGGGCAGGUUGAAGGUUGGGUAACACUAACUGGAGGACCGAACCGACUAAUGUUGAAAAAUUAGCGGAUGACUUGUGGCUGGGGGUGAAAGGCCAAUCAAACCGGGAGAUAGCUGGUUCUCCCCGAAAGCUAUUUAGGUAGCGCCUCGUGAAUUCAUCUCCGGGGGUAGAGCACUGUUUCGGCAAGGGGGUCAUCCCGACUUACCAACCCGAUGCAAACUGCGAAUACCGGAGAAUGUUAUCACGGGAGACACACGGCGGGUGCUAACGUCCGUCGUGAAGAGGGAAACAACCCAGACCGCCAGCUAAGGUCCCAAAGUCAUGGUUAAGUGGGAAACGAUGUGGGAAGGCCCAGACAGCCAGGAUGUUGGCUUAGAAGCAGCCAUCAUUUAAAGAAAGCGUAAUAGCUCACUGGUCGAGUCGGCCUGCGCGGAAGAUGUAACGGGGCUAAACCAUGCACCGAAGCUGCGGCAGCGACGCUGAUGCGUU
rnacentral:rRNA from 1 species